GACGAACGCUGGCGGCGUGCUUAACACAUGCAAGUCGAACGGGGUUGAGAGGUGUGAGGUUAGAGGUUAGAAGUGAGAAACAAAAGUCGCGCAUCUAACUUCUCACCUCCCACUUCUCAAUCUAGUGGCGGAUGGGUGAGUAACACGUGGAUAAUCUGCCCUAAAGACUGGGAUACCACUUGGAAACAGGUGCUAAUACCGGAUAACAACAUGAAUCGCAUGAUUCAAGUUUGAAAGGCGGCGCAAGCUGUCACUUUAGGAUGAGCCCGCGGCGCAUUAGCUAGUGUGGGUAAAGCCUACAAGGCAAUGAUGCGUAGCCGAGUUGAGAGACUGAUCGG
rnacentral:rRNA from 1 species